AUGAUCUCCCUUACAUUUGUAAUAUGGGUGGCCAUACUAUUUGCUCAUGAUUGUACCAGUGAGGUUGUUCUUCAUCAGCCUUCAUCACAAACUGCAACCCCUGGCCAGAGUGUCUCUCUGAGUUGUAAAGCCAGUACAUCCAUUUCGUAUUGCUUAAACUGGUAUCAUCAGAGGUCUGGCCAGGUACCCCGUCUCCUGGUUUAUUAUGCUAACAAUCGUUAUUCUGGCAUCCCUGACAAGUUCAGCGGUAGCUAUUCAGGAACAGAUUUCACUCUGACAAUCAGUAAGAUUGAACCUGAAGAUGCAGGACAUUACUACUGUCAGCAGUGUAACCAGUGGCCUUUAACACAGUGA